AGCAGUAGCCGCGGUAAUACGGAGGGGGCUAGCGUUGUUCGGAAUUACUGGGCGUAAAGCGCACGUAGGCGGCUUGGUAAGUUAGAGGUGAAAGCCUGGAGCUCAACUCCAGAAUUGCCUUUAAGACUGCCGAGCUAGCAGGUGAGGGAGGUAAGUGGAGUUCCGAGUGUAGAGGUGAAAUUCGUAGAUAUUCGGAAGAACACCAGUGGCGAAGGCGGUUACUGGCUCAUACUGGACGCUGAGGUGCGAAAGCGUGGGGAGCAAACAGGAUUAGAUACCCCGGUAGUCCCUGUCUCUUAUACA
rnacentral:rRNA from 1 species